rnacentral:rRNA from 1 species
UGGGGAAUAUUGCACAAUGGGCGCAAGCCUGAUGCAGCCAUGCCGCGUGUGUGAAGAAGGCCUUCGGGUUGUAAAGCACUUUCAGCGGGGAGGAAGGCGUUAAGGUUAAUAACCUUGGCGAUUGACGUUACCCGCAGAAGAAGCACCGGCUAACUCCGUGCCAGCAGCCGCGGUAAUACGGAGGGUGCAAGCGUUAAUCGGAAUUACUGGGCGUAAAGCGCACGCAGGCGGUCUGUCAAGUCGGAUGUGAAAUCCCCGGGCUUAACCCGGGAAUUGCAUCUGAUACUGGUCAGCUAGAGUCUUGUAGAGGGGGGUAGAAUUCCAUGUGUAGCGGUGAAAUGCGUAGAGAUGUGGAGGAAUACCGGUGGCGAAGGCGGCCCCCUGGACGAAGACUGACGCUCAGGUGCGAAAGCGUGGGGAGCAAACAGG